rnacentral:rRNA from 1 species
ACUCAAAGGAAUUGACGGGGACCCGCACAAGUGGUGGAGUAUGUGGUUUAAUUCGACGAUCCGCGAGGAACCUUACCAAGGUUUGACAUCCAGCGAAUUCUUUGGAAACAGAGAAGUGCCUUCGGGAACGCUGAGACAGGUGAUGCAUGGUUGUCGUCAGCUCGUGCCGUGAGGUGUACCCUUAAGUGGGGUAACGAGCGCAACCCCUAUUCUAUGUUAAAUAUUCAUAGGAGACUGCCGAGGAUAACUCGGAGGAAGGUGGGGAUGACGCCAAAUCAGCAUGUCCCUUAUACCUUGGGCGACACACGUACUACAAUGGGAAGUACAACGGGACGCCAAGUCGUAAGACGGAGCUAAUCCUAUCAAAACUUCCCCCAGUUCGGAUUGAGGGCUGCAACUCGCCCUCAUGAAGUUGGAAUCACUAGUAAACGCGUAUCAGCCAUGGCGCGUUGAAUACGUUCUCGGGUCUUGCACACACCGCCCGU